UGUAGGUGAACAUUAUAUUUUUAUUUAUUUAUUUUUAUGUGGUGCUGAGGAUUGAACCCAGGGCCUCACACAUGCAAGGCAAGUGCUCUACCACUGAACUACAACCCCAGCUCUGAACUGUACAUCUUUAAAGGGAAUUAUGUAGUAUGUGAAUUUAAUUUCAAUAACAACCACAACAUAAUUUAAAAAAACCCUAACAAAAGUAGAAAAAUGCAGAUGUCCACUAAUUGAUAAAAUGUGGUAAAAGCUUAAUUUGAGUAAUGAAAAUUUUCUAAAUUGGUGGAGGUGAUGUUUGCACAACUCUAUGGAUAUACUAAAAUAAUUGAAUUGUUCAUUGCAAAUAGGUGAAUUUUAUGGUGUGUGAAUUGUAUCUCAAUAAAUUUGCAAAUCAUAAUAAAUGAAUUCUGAACUACUGAAGUCUAUCAAUUACUCUUAGGCUUUGUGGGAAAAUGUCUUCAGGAAUCCAGCCAAUAUUGAAAUAAUUCAAAUUAUUAGAUUUUUUUCAUUUACCUGCAUUGCCUUUUUCCUACAUUUCAUAAUAUUUAUCUCUUUCGCAACUUUUUAUUUCAUCUUAUAUUUUUUGUCGAAUAGUAGUUAGAACCCAGAUCCUCCUGCAUACUAGGCAAGUGCUUUACCAGUGAGCUAAAUCACUAGGCCUUUUUUUUAGUUUUAUUUUGAGACAUGGUCUCGCUAAGUUGCCCAGGCUGACCUGGAACUUGCUAUCCUCCUGCCUCAGCCUCCCAGCCUCCCAAGUAGCUGAGCUUAUAGCCACGCACCACUGCAC
rnacentral:lncRNA from 1 species